GACGAACGCUGGCGGCGUGCCUAAUACAUGCAAGUCGAACGAGAGCAACCGGUGCUUGCACUGGUCAAUCUAGUGGCGAACGGGUGAGUAACACGUGGGUAACCUGCCCAUCAGAGGGGGAUAACAUCCGGAAACGGAUGCUAAAACCGCAUAGGUCUUCGAACCGCAUGGUUUGAAGAGGAAAAGAGGCGCAAGCUUCUGCUGAUGGAUGGACCCGCGGUGCAUUAGCUAGUUGGUGGGGUAACGGCUCACCAAGGCCGUGAUGCAUAGCCGAACUGAGGGGGGGAUCGGCCACAUUGGGACUGAGACACGGCCCAAACUCCUACGGGAGGCAGCAGUAGGGAAUCUUCCGCAAUGGUCGCAAGUCUGACGGAGCAACGCCGCGUGAGUGAAGAAGGUUUUCGGAUCGUAAAACUCUGUUGUUAGAGAAAAACAAGUGCUAGAGUAACUGUUAGCGCCUUGACGGUAUCUAACCAGAAAGCCACGGCUAACUACGUG
rnacentral:rRNA from 1 species